rnacentral:lncRNA from 1 species
UGCAUGUUUCAGAAUAGUCAAGUAUUAUAAAAUGCUCAUAUAAUAAAGAAUCAAUGUCCAAAAAGUUGGGAUAGUAAUUUGAAGAAUAGCAUCAACAGUUAAUAAAAUAGAGCAAACCUCCAGUUUUAAAACAAAGGUAAGAUGCAGUAGAAAUUAUUUGAUUUUUCAUUUCAGUAAUACACACAAUAUAUAGAAUGCGAAAGAGAUUAAAAGAAGAGAUUCUCUCUUAUUACUUUCUGAAGCGACUCUGAGUGCUGCAAAAGGUAUUUUCCCACAAGAAAAAUGAAACUGCUCUAAAAUCUAAUCAAAUAAGUGAAAAGGGAACUUUUAAAGAAUUGUAGUGGACCAUCAAAAACUAAUGCUUUGUUUAAUAGUUAGAGAUUAAGGCUUUAAAAUCUUCAUUUCCAUAAUCCUGUUGUUCUUCCUGAAUUUGCUUAGCAGAUACUUAGACACCUUACAAGCAUGGAAAUACCUCAAUCAUCUGUAAUGUUAGAAUAUAUCCAAAACCCGGGAGGGAUCAUCUUCAAACAGUCCCAAUAUAGCAAUACUAGGCAUUGAAGUCUUGGGAAAUUAUCACUUGAAGCAUUCUAUUCUGCAAUCUGUACUACAUCUAGUUUCAAGAAUUUAAGUUGUGGAAAUUCAACUUCACUUGUCCCUUUGUCCUCCCUCAAAGGCAACCAUUUCUAAAGUGAGAACCUCAAAGUACUGCAAUAUCCCGACUAUCUCCAUUUGUUUCAGAGGCACAUGUUUAUUAACUAGAGUCAAUUUUUUGAGAUUUGAGGGCAAAAUGAUUAAACGGGAACAUGAUUGUGCCGCUUUCUUGUAGUCAGGUGAUAGCUUUAGUGAUUCUUAAGGCUGUAGAAAAAAUAGUUGAGUGAAGAUCUAAGCCUACCUUUCAGUCUACAAAGGUUGGGUGAACAUCUCAAAAUUUUCUCAUCUAUUUCAUCAGGAACUGAGAGUGUAGAAAUACUUUGUAAGUUAUUAUUUCUUAGGAAGUCCUUAUCAGUAGUUGCCUGCUGAUGGCAAAAGAUGCACUCAAAUAUUUAUCACCCCUAAAAUGUACGUCUCUCAAAAUCGUCAUAUUGAGAAGGAGACCUUGUAUUUCAAUUUGAUUAAGGUUUGUUUUGGAUUUUCGGUACUGAUUAUUAAAGUUUUUUAAAAUAUCCUUUCGACAUUUAUGAAUAAUAUGCUUUUGUAUGAUUUUUAGUAGCAAUUUUUAGAACAAUUUAACCCUUGUUCAAGAAUUUAUUAUCCACAAAGACAUUCCAGAUUGAGGUAUUAAGUAAAUAUUCUAUACGCCAAGAUUCAAAACCUAGAGUACUGCAACCUGGAACAAGGAUCAUUUUCAAGUAGGUGAGAAUCAAAUUAGUAACUGCUAAUUAUAGAGAUCUAUCUGCUAUAUUCAUUAUCUUGUUUUAUCUCUAGGCCUUAGGAAAACAAUUGAAGAACUUUCAUUUGAAAUUGAAUUAGAUCCUUGGAAGAAAAUUCUCUGUCUUCCAAUCCAGUCAAUAAACAAAAUUGAACAGUUG